GCCCUCUUAGCGCAGCAGGCAGCGCGUCAGUCUCAUAAUCUGAAGGUCCUGAGUUCAAGUCUCAGAGAGGGCA
rfam:Gorilla gorilla gorilla genomic chromosome, chr6, whole genome shotgun sequence